rnacentral:rRNA from 1 species
GCAAUUUAUUUUUAAUUAUAUUUUAACCUCUUUAUUUUUAUUUUUUUUGAAAAAACAUUAAUUAAAUUUAUUUAAAAUCUUUUAGGUUGUGAUUAAAAGAUUAAAAAAAUAAUUUUUAUUUUUAUCGAAAAUAUAAGAUUUAUUUUUAUUUUUUAUUUUAAGUGAAAAUAGUAAAAAUAGUAAUGACAUGUUAAUCGCUUAUAUUAAUAUCUAUAUACAUUAAUAUAAUAGUAUAUUAUAAGGGACAGCUUUGUAAUUUAAAUAAAGAAAUAAUAAAUAAUUAUUUUUUUUAUAAAUAUUUGUUAAAUAAAUAAUGUGUUUUUAGUUUUAAAUGAGUAGUUUUUAAAAAAAAAUCUUUUUUUCUAAUAUAAAAUAAUUUAGAAACCUUAAAAAGGCACUAAAAAAAGUUUACUAAAAACAAUAUUUUUUGAUAUUUAUAAAAAAAAUAAAACAUCUUAACAGAUUUUUAUAGGUUAUAAAAUUUAAUUGAUUUUAUGUUUUAUAUAUUAUAUUUUCUUUUUAAGCUAUAACUAAAUUAGUUUUUUGGUAAAAUAUUCCAAAAUUUUUUAAAAAGAAGAAAAGACCCUUGGUGUUUUUAAUAAUAUAUUGUAAAUAUAAUAUAAAAUUUUUUUACUGGGGCAGUAUUUAUCAAUAAAAAAACGAUAAAGUUUUUUAAUUUUAAAUUUUUUUAAAUUAAAUAACCCUAGGGAUAACAGCGCAAUAAAUAAGAAUAGUACAUAUUGAUUUAUUUUUUUACGACCUCGAUGUCGGCUUAAAGUGUUUUUUGUGUGUAGCAGCUUAAAUAAAUUGGUUGUUCCCCAAUUAAAUCUUUACAUGAGCUGGGUUUAGAGCGGAGUGAUUUAGCUCGGUUUUUAUCUUUUUUUAGUAAAUAAAUUAGUACGAAAGGAAUUUUUAUUUUUU